rnacentral:rRNA from 1 species
AGGGUUUGAUCAUGGCUCAGGACGAACGCUGGCGGUGCGCCUUAUGCAUGCAAGUCGAGCGAAGCUUUUCAGUAGUUUACUACAGAAAAUGACUGAGCGGCGAACGGGUGAGUAACGCGUGAGCAAUCUACCUUAGUUACAGGGAUAGCCCGAGGAAACUCGGAUUAAUACCUGAUAUUCUUUAUUUCUCGCAUGAGAAUAAAAGGAAAGGUCAGCCGAACUAAGAUGAGCUCGCGUUCUAUCAGCUAGUUGGUGAGGUAAAAGCUUACCAAGGCUACGACGGAUAGCUGGUCUGAGAGGACGAUCAGCCACACUGGGACUGAGACACGGCCCAGACUCCUACGGGAGGCUGCAGCAGGGAAUAUUGUGCAAUGAACGAAAGUUUGACACAGCGACACCGCGUGUGGGAUGACGGAUCUAGGUUUGUAAACCACUUUCAGGGGGGAAGAAAAUGACGGUACCUCCACAAGAAGCCCCGGCCAACUACGUGCCAGCCGCCGCGGUAAUAC